rnacentral:lncRNA from 1 species
GCCUGGUGGGCUGCCAUCUAUGGGGUCGCACAGAGUUGGACAUGACUGAAGUGACUUAGCAGCAGCAGCAGCACCCCACGAAAAAUGCAAGACUGGUAUGGGUUUGUGAGAUGGAUUGGGGUUGGUUCCUAUCUUGUUUGAACUGGCUCAUGAAAAAUAAUCCUAAUAAAAAGCACAGGAAUCUUUUCUAGACAUUUAGAAUCAGAGCAGGACAGUCCAAAGGAACUUCCUCUCUGAGCCCCAAGGUACUCUUUACAUUUCUUUUGAUUCUCAGGGCCAUUCAGAAUUUUUUGUUUCAAGACUGCUUCAGACUCUUUGCCUCCUGUUCACAUGUGGGUGGCACUGGUUGAUGUUUAAAUUUAUUUUUUGACUUAACUUUCUGUUUGCCCAGUUUCCCAGGUGAUUGAUUCAGGUGGUUUAAAAGCCACGUUCAGAAGCCUUCCCUCUUCCAUGCACCACUGACAGCCAAUGUUUCCAGUCUGACUCAGAGAGCCACCGUCUUUGUGGAGGUCGCCAUGGCACGGGCUGGUCUUCACUGGCGUUCCCUCCUGCGCGAGCUCUGCCAAAGACGCGUCCGCAGGGGUGAAAAUUCUCUCCACCAAGAUUCACAAGCCCAAGGCUCUCUUUCCUGUGGACUACAGCAGCCUUUUUCC